UACGGAGGGGGCUAGCGUUGUUCGGAAUUACUGGGCGUAAAGCGUACGUAGGCGGCUUUGUAAGUUAGAGGUGAAAGCCCGGGGCUUAACCCCGGAAUUGCCUUUAAGACUGCAUCGCUUGAAUCAUGGAGAGGUGAGUGGAAUUCCGAGUGUAGAGGUGAAAUUCGUAGAUAUCGGGAGGAACACCAGUGGCGAAGGCGGCGAUCUGGGUGGAUACUGACGCUGAGGUGCGAAAGCGUGGGGAGCAAACAGG
rnacentral:rRNA from 1 species